UUUUUAACGAACAAUACUAGAAUUGACAACGUCCCCCCCCCCCAGAUUUAUUGUAAUUCCCAAAUUGAGGUGAUGUAUAAAGCAGACAAGGCAGUGGCACCGUGGUUUACUGAGUUCGGUGACCUGAGUUUGAUUCCCGGCCAUAGGUAACAUAAGUGAUAUCUGAAUAGACCCUACUGACCUGCAUAGUUAAGUAUGGUUGAACAGCCCCCAACGAUUGACAUGACAUGGAGAGUACUUCACUAAGCAGUAUAUUGAGAAUGAGUAGGGGUGCAAUACACAAGUGUACACAUUCCAAUAUAAUAGCCCUGGCCAGGUGCACAUGGCCAAGUGUCCUGUCUAAAGGGUACUGUACUAAUCAAGCUUUGGACAAUACCUCAGUAUCAAUCUUGCUGAAUCUCUACUCUUAAAGUGAUCAGAGGUAAUUAUCUACUUUUGUUUUUGGAUGGCAACAUUUUCAUUCAGGUACCUUUAAUUAUAUGUUUUGUGCUCUGAUUAAGAACAUUUCAGUUACAUUCGAGUAUGUCAUGAAUACAUCUUUAUUGUAUACACAACCAAGAUGCCUGUCGAUACCAACAACACGAUCGAAAAUGGUUGAACACAAGCGGAAAGUUCAAUCAAAGCCAAAAGUUGUUAAGUUUCACAGCACUGCCCCUGUUUACCCAAAAACAAAUGAAGAACAAAGCAGCUGAUUACAAAUGACGAUCACAAUCAAUCCCUAUGCCUUGGAGUGACGCCUGCAAUUAGAGGGGCGAUGCAUGUUGUGUGGCCAACUGUUAAAAACCAUCAAUUACGCAUUCCCUUUGUUAAUCACUUCAGCCCUGCUCCCCUCCCCCCCACCUCCUUAAAAUGCCCUCCUAAAACAACACGAACCUUUAACGCGCCAAAACAUGUGCGCCACUUGUACGAACACGAGCAACAUGCAAGGAAGUGCUUGCUCCACAAUGUGCCCCCGCACAACUCGCUGAGCGGAGGGCGCUCUGUUGUCGGGCACACGCCUAACUCAGCGGGAGACUCCCGGCCGGACCUGUUAAACCCAUCUAAAUCACGCGGCACGUGUUGCCCGGGCGCCCCCCCCUGUGAUGUGACACACUCCACCCCUGCAGGUGGCCCCUGAACCUUUGGGGGCUCCGUCUGCUAACACAAUUACCCUCGGGCGCCCCAGCCCCACUUAACUCAUCCGAGGGGCCACGGAGCUGCAGCCAAAGGCAACACGGCCCGGUGGCCCCAAGAGGGAAGAUUCCGCCUUAAAGACGACCGACGGCACACUCCAGAGCGGACGCAGCGGAUCAAGUGAUGAAAUAAAGAGCUCCCAUCGUGACACAGAACAGAAGCUUGCGCUGAGAUGGUGAACCACGCUAGCAGCACGAGAAUGGCCGUCACCAGGAUGAGUGUCCGCCACGACUCCAGGAUAUAAAUGGGCACACCACAAUUGAACGGCAGGUCACGUGCUGGUGGAGGAGAGCAUGGGCACUGCGACUUCUUCAAGAGGGGCUAUCCCGAGAGCUCCCUCUAGUGUAGAGCCAUCUGCCUGCGGCAGCGUGAGCAACUUGUUGAACAACCGAAAACGACCUGAACGGAAGCUCCCCGAGCACGUGGGGCGAAACGCCGGACACCGUGCUGAGCACGUCGGAGGGUGGCGGCGGGAGGAGUGUCGCGCACACCGUUGGCGCUCGUGAGGAUCGGCACCGUG